rnacentral:rRNA from 1 species
UGAACGCUGGCGGCGUGCCUAACACAUGCAAGUCGAACGAAGCACUGCGGAUGGAGAUUCGUCAAAAUCUGCUUUGACUUAGUGGCGGACGGGUGAGUAAUGUGUGAGCAACCUGCCUUUCAGAGGGGGACAACAGUUGGAAACGACUGCUAAUACCGCAUAAUGUAUUGAAAGGGCAUCCUUUUGAUACCAAAGGAGCAAUCCGCUGAAAGAUGGGCUCACAUCUGAUUAGCUAGUUGGUGGGGUAACGGCCUACCAAGGCUGCGAUCAGUAGCCGGACUGAGAGGUUGAACGGCCACAUUGGGACUGAGAUACGGCCCAGACUCCUACGGGAGGCAGCAGUGGGGAAUAUUGGGCAAUGGGCGAAAGCCUGACCCAGCAACGCCGCGUGAAGGAAGAAGGUCUUCGGAUUGUAAACUUCUUUUAUGAGGGACGAAGGACGUGACGGUACCUCAUGAAUAAGCCACGGCUAACUACGUGCCAGCCGCCGC